UACGUAGGGACCAAGCGUUGUUCGGAUUUACUGGGCGUAAAGGGCGCGUAGGCGGCGCGGUAAGUCACUUGUGAAAUCUCUGAGCUUAACUCAGAACGGCCAAGUGAUACUGCAGUGCUAGAGUGUUGAAGGGGCAAUCGGAAUUCUUGGUGUAGCGGUGAAAUGCGUAGAUAUCAAGAGGAACACCUGAGGUGAAGACGGGUUGCUGGGCCAACACUGACGCUGAGGCGCGAAAGCCAGGGGAGCAAACGGG
rnacentral:rRNA from 1 species